UACGUAGGGCGCAAGCGUUGUCCGGAAUUAUUGGGCGUAAAGAGCUCGUAGGCGGCCUGUUACGUCUGCUGUGAAAUCCCGGGGCUUAACCCCGGGCGUGCAGUGGAUACGGGCAGGCUGGAGGCAGGCAGGGGAGAACGGAAUUCCCGGUGUAGCGGUGAAAUGCGCAGAUAUCAGGAGGAACACCGAUGGCGAAGGCGGGACUCUGGGCCGAUACUGACGCUGAGGAGCGAAAGCGUGGGGAGCAAACAGG
rnacentral:rRNA from 1 species